rnacentral:lncRNA from 1 species
GGAAUGAACUGGCAUCACGGCAAGGAGCUGCCUCCUAGGACCUGUGUCUGGUGCUAGGGAGAACCAGCUACUGCCAACCUAGCCGGGUAGGCAGGGUUUGGGGGAAACAUACUGUUCUCACCUCUCUCCUUGUCUUCCAUCCUGUGGAGAUCCCCGUUGGUUGACUCUACCCUGGAGCCAGAGAGUAAAGGAGGCUGGUGAGGCUGUCCCAGAGACCAACCUCCUGACACAGAGCAGGACCUGGUCUUCUGGGGAGAUUGGCAGAGCUGGAAAGCAGGAGCCGAUCUACGCCAAGCAAGAGACUCUUUAACCUCUCAUCGCCUUAAGACCUAGAAAACCAAGUUGCCGGACCCCAGAUGAUUCUCCAAAACUGCAAAGAAUGAAAAAUCUUCCCUUCUGAACGCGUCGAGCAGCUUUUGCUGGAGAUGCACCGGGCCCCUGUUAGAAGAAGAUGGCUCCUCUCUGGAAGGGAUGGGAGCUUUGGUUAUAACGAGGGGACGUAAGUCUUUGGCCUCAGGCCUGCCAGGCCCUGCCUCUGCAAACAAGGGAAUGGGCGCCGAUGGAGGCCCCAACAGCCGAUCAUUUGGUGCGGAGCCGUCGGAGUGCAGGCCCAUCCAGCAGGAGAGAAGAGUCAUUUAG